rnacentral:rRNA from 4 species
UUUAUUGGAGAGUUUGAUCCUGGCUCAGGAUGAACGCUGGCGGCGUGCCUAAUACAUGCAAGUCGAGCGAAUGGAUUAAGAGCUUGCUCUUAUGAAGUUAGCGGCGGACGGGUGAGUAACACGUGGGUAACCUGCCCAUAAGACUGGGA